rnacentral:lncRNA from 1 species
UUAGAUAUUAGUUAGCGAAACUUUGGAAACAUGAGCAUUUUAUUAGUUAAUCAGCUUAUAUAUAUAGAGAGAGAGAGAGAGCUAGGCUCCUGCGCUUUCGAAAGUACGGAGGCUUUCUUACUUGCAAGUUGAUUUCAAUGAUGAGACAUCUGAUUCGACGAUCGGCUACGUUAGCUAUGAUCUACACUAUUAGAACUAUUUAAAAAUUAAAUUUCAUAAAUUUUUGACUUCAUUCGCCUAAUGAAUGGCUAGCCUCAAAAUAAACAAUUGAAAACAAAAAUCUCAUAAAAAUAAUAAUAAAAGACUCAAAUUUCAAAUCAAAAGUAUGCCUUUCGCUCUCGAUACUAAGUAGAAUUUUCUAUUAAAAGUUUCAUAUAAUUUAAAUUAUUCUACAUCAUUAAAUUUACAAACAUGCCAUAUCGGCUAUUAAAAUAGUCAUUUUUUAGACCUUUUGAUCAUUUGAUAAAUAAUGUCAAAAAAUUAUAAAAUUUAAUUUCUAAAUAGUUAUAAUAGUGUAAAUCAUACUUAACGAAUGUGAUUGUCAAAUCAGAUGUUCUAUUAUGAAAAAUAAUUUACAAGCACACUUAACAUUAAUUGUAGCCGAACUCUGUAUAUAAAACUAGGCUAGAAUACUAUUAAUAGCACAAAGUUAUUGGUGCUAUUAAGUUUUUGGCCCUUAGAUGAAGCAAUCUAUGGUUAGAAUGAUAGUAGUUUUCUAGGGUUGAGUGGAUGGUUAGCUGAAUAGUAUGAUCUAACGGAUGAAAAUGGUCAAAAAAAUUGAUCUAACGACAGAAAACCUGAUAGCAUCAAGUGUUUGGUGCUAUCGAUAACAUUGUAGUCGGACUCCAUAUAUAGAACUAGGCUAGAAUAUUAUUAAUAGCACCAAGUUAUUGGUGCUAUUAAGUUUUCGGCCCUUGGAUGAAGCGAUCUACAAUUAGGAUGAUAGUGGUCCCCUAAGGUUGAAUGGGUGCAUGGUUGGUUGAAUAGUAUAAUCUAAUGGCAAAAAAUGGUCAAAGAAAUUAAUUUAACGGUAGAAAACUUUGUUGCAUCAAGUGUUUGAUACUAUCGAUAACGUUAUAGCUGGACUCUAUAUAUAUAUAGUAGAUCUUGUGUACUAUUAAAAGCACGGAGAUCUUCAUACUCCUAAGCCGUUUUCAAUGAUAGGACUUUCGAAUUAACGAUCGGCUCCGUUAGACUUGGUUUAGCGUAUUUGAAGUAUCUAAAAAAUAAAUUUUAUAAUUUUUCGAUAUAAUUUACCUAGUGAUCGAAAGGAUUCAAAAUUAACAACUUUUAAUUGAUGUAUAUCGUUUUCAAGUUUAACGGUAUAGAAGUAUUCAAAUCAGAUGAAAUUUUGAUAGAAAAUUUUUUACUAUUUACUGCAGGAUUAAUAUCUCUGAUAAAAAAUUUUAGUACUAUAUCACUACUUUUUGUGAGAUUUUUAUAUUUAGCUGUUAUAUAUAUAUAUAUAGAGAGAGAGAGAGAGAGAGAGAGAGAGAGAGUAGCGUUACUGUGCUAUUAGGAGCACAGCAACCAUUGUGCUCUUGACUUCUUAACCAUCUAUCAAUUUUUAUGGAUGGUUGGGGUGAAAGUGAACAGAAAUUAAGGAGAAAUUGGAUGUUUCAAUUUCUCUGCUUUUUAAAUAUUUCUUCAAUUUCUCUUUUCUCUCAUCCUAACCCUCAUCAAUAUUGAUGGAUGGUUAGAAAAUUAAGAGUAUAAGAACUGCUGU